rnacentral:rRNA from 1 species
ACGGAAGGCAGCAGUGAGGAAUAUUGGUCAAUGGACGCAAGUCUGAACCAGCCAUGCCGCGUGCAGGAAUAAGGCCCUAUGGGUCGUAAACUGCUUUUGUGGUGGAGCAAUAAGUCGUACGUGUACGGCGAUGAGAGUACAUCACGAAUAAGCAUCGGCUAACUCCGUGCCAGCAGCCGCGGUAAUACGGAGGAUGCAAGCGUUAUCCGGAUUUAUUGGGUUUAAAGGGUGCGUAGGCUGUGGUCCAAGUCAGGGGUGAAAGCCCGGAGCUCAACUCCGGAACUGCCUUUGAUACUGGAUUGCUGGAAUACGGAUGCCGUGGGAGGAAUGAGUAGUGUAGCGGUGAGAUGCAUAGAUAUUACUCAGAACACCGAUUGCGAAGGCAUCUCACGAAUCCGUCAUUGACGCUGAGGCACGAAAGCGUGGGGAUCAAACAGGAUUAGAUACCCUGGUA